GUGAGGAAUAUUGGUCAAUGGGCGGGAGCCUGAACCAGCCAAGUCGCGUGAAGGAAGAAGGAUCUAUGGUUCGUAAACUUCUUUUGCAGGGGAAUAAAGUGCAGGACGUGUCCUGUUUUGUAUGUACCCUGAGAAUAAGGAUCGGCUAACUCCGUGCCAGCAGCCGCGGUAAUACGGAGGAUCCGAGCGUUAUCCGGAUUUAUUGGGUUUAAAGGGUGCGUAGGUGGUUUGAUAAGUCAGCGGUGAAAGUUUGUAGCUUAACUGUAAAAAUGCCGUUGAAACUGUCGGACUUGAGUGUAAAUGAGGUAGGCGGAAUGCGUGGUGUAGCGGUGAAAUGCAUAGAUAUCACGCAGAACUCCGAUUGCGAAGGCAGCUUACUAAGCUACAACUGACACUGAAGCACGAAAGCGUGGGGAUCAAACAGGAUUAGAAACCCCAGUAGUCC
rnacentral:rRNA from 1 species